GCAUGCGUUCCAUUAGUAGUGGGGGGGGUAACGGCCCACCAAGCCGGCGAUGGAUAGGGGUUCUGAGAGGAAGGUCCCCCCACACUGGUACUGAGACACGGACCAGACUCCUACGGGAGGCAGCAGUGAGGAAUAUUGGUCAAUGGGCGUAAGCCUGAACCAGCCAAGUCGCGUGGAGGAAGACGGCCCUACGGGUUGUAAACUCCUUUUAGGGGGGAAUAAAGCGCGGGACGCGUCCCGUCUUGCAUGUACCCCCUGAAUAAGCAUCGGCUAACUCCGUGCCAGCAGCCGCGGUAAUACGGAGGAUGCGAGCGUUAUCCGGAUUUAUUGGGUUUAAAGGGUGCGUAGGUCGGCGUUUAAGCCGGCGGUGAAAACUUGUCGCUCAACGAUAAGCCUGCCGUCGGAACUGGGCGCCUUGAGUUCGUUUGAGGCAGGCGGAAUGCGUGGUGUAGCGGUGAAAUGCAUAGAUAUCACGCAGAACCCCGAUUGCGAAGGCAGCUUGCCAAGCCGCGACUGACACUGAAGCACGAAAGCGUGGGUAUCAAACAGGAUUAGAUACCCUGGUAGUCCACGCUGUAAACGAUGAUCACUAGCUGUUUGCGAUACACGGUAAGCGGCACAGCGAAAGCGUUAAGUGAUCCACCUGGGGAGUACGC
rnacentral:rRNA from 1 species